rnacentral:rRNA from 1 species
UACGUAGGGCGCAAGCGUUUGUCCGGAAUUAUUGGGCGUAAAGAGCUCGUAGGCGGUUUGUCGCGUCUGCUGUGAAAACCUAAGGCUCAACCUUGGGCUUGCAGUGGGUACGGGCAGACUGGAGUGCGGUAGGGGAGAUUGGAAUUCCUGGUGUAGCGGUGGAAUGCGCAGAUAUCAGGAGGAACACCGAUGGCGAAGGCAGAUCUCUGGGCCGUAACUGACGCUGAGGAGCGAAAGCGUGGGGAGCGAACAGG